GACGAACGCUGGCGGCGUGCUUAACACAUGCAAGUCGAACGGAAAGGCCCUGCUUGCAGGGUACUCGAGUGGCGAACGGGUGAGUAACACGUGGGUGAUCUGCCCUGCACUUCGGGAUAAGCCUGGGAAACUGGGUCUAAUACCGGAUAGGAGCCAUUUUUAGUGUGAUGGUUGGAAAGUUUUUUCGGUGUAGGAUGAGCUCGCGGCCUAUCAGCUUGUUGGUGGGGUAAUGGCCUACCAAGGCGGCGACGGGUAGCCGGCCUGAGAGGGUGGACGGCCACAUUGGGACUGAGAUACGGCCCAGACUCCUACGGGAGGCAGCAGUGGGGAAUAUUGCACAAUGGGCGCAGGCCUGAUGCAGCGACGCCGCGUGGGGGAUGACGGCCUUCGGGUUGUAAACUCCUUUCGCUAGGGACGAAGCUUUUUGUGACGGUACCUAGAUAAGAAGCACCGGCUAACUACGUG
rnacentral:rRNA from 1 species